AUGAAGGCCAACUGGAUCGUCCUCAUCCACCAAUCCGGUAGUCCGUGGCGUCUCGUGGAUAUCUACACCCAGCGAGAGAUCACCCUUCCAUCCAGACGCAAAUGCGCUGGCCUUCAUGAUUCCAGGACCUGGAAUCAUACCAGCCGAUGGGAUUGGUCGGUGCUGCCGGCUAGUGUCAAGUUCGAUCCCACGGAUCAGGAGCUGAUCGAGCACCUUGAGGCCAAAGUGAGUGCUGACAGCACGAGAUCUCACCCUCUCAUCGAUUUGUUCAUACCAACCAUCGACAGCGAGCACGGCAUAUGCUACACCCAUCCUGAGAAACUUCCAGGUAUCACACUGAGUGGCCUAAGCAAGCAUUUCUUCCAGCGCAAUUCCAGGGCGUUCAAAAGGGGCACGUGGACGCGUCGCAAGAUACAGUCGGAGUGCGGCAUGCACGCGAUGUGGCACAAGACCGGCAAUACCUUGCCGAUGAUGGUCAAUGGCCGGCAGACUGGCAGCAAAAAGGUUCUGGUGCUGCACACCAACAAGAACUUCGGUCAUUCCCGCAAAAAAAAGAACUUCGACCAGCAGAGGACCAACUCGGUGAUGCACCAGUACCACCUCGGGGACCUGGAGCAAGAGAAGGAGCGGGAGCUGGUCCUCUGCAAGAUUUUCUACCAAACGAACACUAGGGCCAGGACUAAAAAGAUUAUAAGUUAG
rnacentral:rRNA from 1 species